AUUGAACGCUGGCGGCAUGCCUUACACAUGCAAGUCGAACGGCAGCACGGGAGCAAUCCUGGUGGCGAGUGGCGAACGGGUGAGUAAUACAUCGGAACGUGCCCAAUAGUGGGGGAUAGCCCGGCGAAAGCCGGAUUAAUACCGCAUACGACCUACGGGUGAAAGCGGGGGAUCGCAAGACCUCGCGCUACUGGAGCGGCCGAUGUCGGAUUAGCUAGUUGGUAGGGGAAAGGCCUACCAAGGCUACGAUCCGUAGCUGGUCUGAGAGGACGACCAGCCACACUGGGACUGAGACACGGCCCAGACUCCUACGGGAGGCAGCAGGUGGGGUAAUUUUGGACAAGUGGGCGCAAGCCUGAUCCAGCCAUGCCGCGU
rnacentral:rRNA from 1 species